ensembl:lncRNA
GGACUGGCCUGGUGCUGUGGCUGGUGAGGCAGGCCCACAUUCGUGUGCUCCUUCCACGUGGAACUCCAGCCCAUCAAGGUCCUAGCCUGCCUGCAAGAGAAGACACACAUUCUCCUUCCUCCGUGGAGCCUCCUCUGACCCCUUCAUGCCUCCUCCCUGGGCCCCAAGCAUAGUAGGUGCUUGGUUGUUACUCUGAAUUGUUUCAGGCGUGUCUGACUCUUUGCGACCCUAUGGGCUGCAACCUGCCAAGCUCCUCUGUCCAUGGGAUUCUCCAGGAAAGAACACUGGAAUGGGUUGCCAGUUCCUCCUCCCAGGGAUCUUCCUAACCGGAUUGAACCCGUGUCUCUUCUGUCUCCUGCAUUGACAGCGUAUGGUGGCUGGACUGUAGACACACUCCAUGACUAUUUCCUGAAUGAACUCAUGAACUCAUCUUUCACAGCUGGGCUCCUCUGCCAGCUCUGCAGCCCGCCCUGAGGCAAGGAGCAGGGGAGAGAGGAAUGACAAAGACACGUGGGCCCUUCUUUAACCGGUCUCUGCUGCUGCUCCGAUGC